UUGACAGGUUGAGUUUACAUUUUGACCGUGGACUAUCAUGUGAUUGAAAGAGCACCAAAAAUCGGAAUACAAUUGAACGUGGCCAUUGUGUAACGGCCUUUAAAAUUUUGCUACAUAUCUUCAUUCCAUGCAUCAUGCAUCUCCAUCAUGUUACAUCCGCACUGCGUUGAAAUCUGAACUAAACAGCAGAGAAAUAGCUGUCUUGUUGGAGGAAGAUCGUGAGAGUCUUUACCUGGUCAUUUGAUGUCAUUUCGAGAAGAAUUGAAAAGAACAGUCGUCUAAUUAUAUUACCAUAUCAAGAUGAACAUGGCAAGUGCCGGUUUAACGCGACAGGAAGUCAUGGUGCACUUAGCUAGAUUGACUUUCUUCGCAGCACUUGGUUUCGUCAGCAUGAGAUGGCUCAUGAAUCAACUCGAUCCUACUAGAGGUUCUAAACAGAAAGCCAAAAAGAAGGCUCGAGAAAAAUUACGCAAGAUGAUAGAAAAUGACAACUAUAACAACAAGCAAUAUGUUGAUAUAAAUCAACUAACAGAAUAUGAAACAGUUAUAGCCAAUAAUUUGGUAGAUCCAAAUGACAUCAAGGUAUCUUGGAAUAACAUUGCAGGUUUGGAUAGUGUUAUUCAAGAACUGCAAGAAACUGUUAUAUUGCCUAUACAGAGAAAAGAAUUAUUUGAGGAUUCUCAACUGAUUCAAGCACCCAAGGGAGUAUUAUUGUAUGGUCCGCCAGGUUGCGGUAAAACUAUGAUUGCCAAGGCUACUGCCCGGGAGGUAAAGACACGCUUCAUAAAUCUGGAUGUGAGCACUUUGACUGACAAGUGGUAUGGAGAAAGUCAAAGAUUAACUGCUGCUGUUUUUUCCCUGGCUGUAAAACUGCAGCCGUGCAUUAUUUUUAUUGAUGAAAUAGAUUCUUUUUUGAGAUCGCGCAAUUCUCAAGAUCAUGAAGCCACGGCGAUGAUGAAGGCUCAGUUUAUGUCUUUAUGGGAUGGUUUGAUAACUGAUUCCGAUUGUACAGUGAUGAUAAUGGGAGCUACUAAUAGACCGCAGGAUUUGGAUAAAGCAAUUCUGCGGCGUAUGCCAGCGACUUUUUACAUCGGUUUGCCGAAUGAGCAACAACGACUCGAAAUAUUGCGGUUGAUUUUAAGAAACGAGCCGAUCGCAAGUAACGUAGACAUCCCGAAAGUGGCAAAGAAUACUGAAGGAUUCUCUGGAUCAGAUCUGCAAGAACUUUGUCGGGAAGCAUCUAUUUAUCGUAUCAGAGACUACCUGUCUACGCACGAUGGAGAAAGACUUCAAAACAGUACAAGUGACGAUGAAGUGUAUCAUGAUACUGUGCGACCUAUCACAAUGGAGGACCUGCAAAAAUCGUUCACUAAAAUGAGAACAGCAAAGCUGCAAACAGGCACACUUACUAUACCUAUGUUACAAGGAUGUUGAGAUACUAGAGAACGAUGAGAUACUAGAAAAUGACAUUGAUAUUAUCGGUUUCAUCAGUUUUUCUAAUCAUCUGUUUGAAUCGCAUCCAUCGUUGGUUAUUCGCCAUCUGAAAGUUAAGAUUGUAUGAGAUAAAUUUUUAAGAUGACGCUUUAAGAUAAGCUGUAAUAAGUAUAUAAAUGUCUAAAAUUAAUGCGUAUAUUAAAUGAUAUAUUGUCAUUCAAAAAACUCGUAGUAGGGAAUAAAGUCGCGUAACUUUACACAUUUAGAAAUUGCGCAAUCUAUACAAUGUAAACGCGCGCGUGUAAUUUCUUUUAUUUUUAUAAUUAAAUAGUUCUUUGGAUCACAAAAGUUUCUAAAAGCUCUUUGUCGAGAAACAUUUAUUUUUGUUAUAUCAGAGUUUAUCUUUACAGUACUCAGCUUCAGCACAGAACGCAACUGUUCUUUGAUACAACAAUUAGACACUUCCUAACAAAAGCUUUUGCAAAUUUAACUUAAAGUCAGGAUGUUUAUGUUGUUCGUGAUCAAUUUCUUUCUUAAAAUCACCGGUAAUUAUCUUUGCCGAUUCAACUUAUCUUAAGUCGUUGCAACUUAUUUUGAUAUAAUCAUAUCGGUGUUAUAUAUAUGUUUAAAGUUAAUAAAUUUUAUAAAUUUUUUUUCUAUAAAUUUAACAAUUUGUAGUUCUUUUCUUGUCAAAAUCUUAUUUUGUGCAUGUAUACGUACUGUGUACAUGCGAUGUUUUUUACGUAUACAUGCACGUGUAGUAUAUUACAUAAAUUUACAUAAUCAUGAUUUCUUACAUAUACAUAUGCAUUUUGUAUGCUGGUCACGCGAUAAAUUAAUGUACAAUGUAUAUUUGUCAUAUUCUUGCACUAGUUUUAUUAUUAACUGAAACUGCAGAAUACAAUGUAAUCAUGUGAUUUUUUCCUUAAAUAUAUUAAGUUUGAUUUAUUGUUA